UCUGGCACCCUGGGCAACAAAUGCAUGAUGGGAGUUCUAGAUGAAUGAUCUACAUUAGCUCUUUGAAAGAAAGACAUUCCUAGCUCUAUCCCUGCUUCCACCAGCCCCUUAAGAUGUGCCCCCAAAGGAAAUACAGCAGAGCUCUUCCGAAGUCAGAAUGGGUGCCAGGUUGUUUCAACAUUUCUAAGAAAAAGAAGCAUUCUCUUUAGGAAAACAGAAAGGAUUUAAGCCUGGAAGAGAGUUUGUAAGCAUAGAAAAGGAAAAGGGAGGCAAAAGAAGAGGAAAACAACAACAAAACAAUGAGCACACUGGAUUGUGAAAAAUGAAAAUAGGAAAGGCAGAAGGGAAACAUCUUUUAAUCCCCAUUAUACAUCAGAAGUAUUGUAAAUAAUUACUUCAUUUAAUACAAUAAUGUGUGUGAUAUUUAC